GGGGUGGUGGCGCAGUUGGCUAGCGUGUCAUAGCUGAAACUUGUGACCAAUCCUGAGGUCGAGAGUUCGAGCCUCUCUCACCCCA
rnacentral:tRNA from 1 species